rnacentral:rRNA from 1 species
ACCCAGACCGCCAGCUAAGGUCCCAAAGUCAUGGUUAAGUGGGAAACGAUGUGGGAAGGCCCAGACAGCCAGGAUGUUGGCUUAGAAGCAGCCAUCAUUUAAAGAAAGCGUAAUAGCUCACUGGUCGAGUCGGCCUGCGCGGAAGAUGUAACGGGGCUAAACCAUGCACCGAAGCUGCGGCAGCGACGCUGAUGCGUUGUUGGGUAGGGGAGCGUUCUGUAAGCCUGCGAAGGUGUGCUGUGAGGCAUGCUGGAGGUAUCAGAAGUGCGAAUGCUGACAUAAGUAACGAUAAAGCGGGUGAAAAGCCCGCUCGCCGGAAGACCAAGGGUUCCUGUCCAACGUUAAUCGGGGCAGGGUGAGUCGACCCCUAAGGCGAGGCCGAAAGGCGUAGUCGAUGGGAAACAGGUUAAUAUUCCUGUACUUGGUGUUACUGCGAAGGGGGGACGGAGAAGGCUAUGUUGGCCGGGCGACGGUUGUCCCGGUUUAAGCGUGUAGGCUGGUUUUCCAGGCAAAUCCGGAAAAUCAAGGCUGAGGCGUGAUGACGAGGCACUACGGUGCUGAAGCAACAAAUGCCCUGCUUCCAGGAAAAGCCUCUAAGCAUCAGGUAACAUCAAAUCGUACCCCAAACCGACACAGGUGGUCAGGUAGAGAAUACCAAGGCGCUUGAGAGAACUCGGGUGAAGGAACUAGGCAAAAUGGUGCCGUAACUUCGGGAGAAGGCACGC